rnacentral:sRNA from 1 species
GCUUAAUCUUACCACUUAGGCUCAUUGUGUGAACAAAAGAACUUUGUGUAAUUCGAUCCUUAAGUACUAUCAAUGAUCUCUUAUUUGAGAGAGUGGUCUUAGGGUAAUUUGACCUGCAUCAACCGUAGUUGAGGCUUACGAAGUGUAUAAUGACUUCUCUUCAUUACAUGGUGGCGAGUUGGAGAUUCUCGAUAAUGAUGUUGCUUCGGUAUUUGAUUAUUUAGCCAAUUUUUGAGCCGAUGAGACACAAAUUGAACUCAGUACGACAUGUGCAACUUUGUAUGUGGGGUGUGUUUCUAAGAACAGAAAAGUCAUACAACAAACAAUGUUUUAUCUCGCAAUCAAACAAUGCUUUUGCUAUAAGCAACCUAGAUGAUACUUGUCCAUGACAUUUGACUGCUCAAGUCGUCAAGAAUUCAGAAUGUUUCAAAUCACAUAGUAUGAUACCACCCAUACGUGUGACAUCGACACUCGCAUGAAUUAUAAUAAAUAUGCUAGUGAUAAGCUUCUUGGAGAGGUAGUGAAGAGCAGAUACAGUUCUACGCAAGGGGGUCCAAGAGCUGUCAGUUUACCACAGUUGCUCCUAAAUGAUCUCAAUGUUCGGAUGUCAUAUUCUACCGCUUGGAGAGCUAAAGAUGUUGCAGUGGAAAAUGUAAGGAGGAUGAUAUAAAAAGUUACAGGUUUUUGGCUACCUAUUUGUAUCUUCUUAAAUUAGCUAAUCCAGGUACAAUAACUCACCUACACUCUGCACCUGAAGCUGAUAGUAAACAACACUUUAAGUAUGUAUUUGUAUCUCUCAGGGCUUCUAUAAAAGGUCUGAAGUAUAUGAGAAAGGUAACUGUCGUAGAUGGAACACAACUAGUAGGACGUUACAAAGGAUGUAUCCUCAUUACAUGUGCCCAAGGCGGAAACUUUCAAAUAUUUUCAAUAGCUCUUGGUGUUGUUGAUGGUGAGACUAAUGCUUCAUGAGCGUGGUUCUUUGAUAAAUUAGCUGACAUUGUUCAAGACACUGAAGAUUUAAUGAUUGUAUUAGACAUACAUUCUUCUAUAUAUAAAGGCCUCAGUGUGAUUUAUCUGAAAGCUCAUCAUGGAGCAUGUGCAGUACACCUUGAGCGAAAUAUCUCCAACUAUUAUGGUAAGUAUGGUGUAUUUGGAUUAUUCUUUAGCGCUCCUAAAGCUUAUUUACGUAGGUGAUAUGAAGCGUUUCGGUACAUUAAUUGGAAACCGUGUACUUAGGGAGAUUUAUGUGACAAGAUAGAUGUCAUAUCUAUGGCUAAAAUUUGAAAGUAUGUAAUUAAUAACCAGGCGAAAGCUCCGAAUGGACAAAGCGUAUUUGGUGGAGCGGAUCAAGCGGAUAAGGUGUUUCAAGCAGAAUUAAAGCCGAUCAAGAGGAUUAGGUGUUUUAAGCAGAACUAAAGCGGAUCAAGCAGUUAGAACGCUUCAAAAUAUGUAUUGAAUGAUAAAAAUGGAUCAUACGGUGCAAAUGAAAUGAUUUAUUGAGAAAAAUAUUAAUUACAAAUAUAGUAUAAUAUACAAUAA